CAAGUACUCCCUCCGUCCGGAAUUACAUGUCAUCAAAAUGGAUGUGUCUAGAACUAAAAUACAUCUAGAUACAUCCAUUUCAAUGACAAGUAUUUUCGGACGAAGGGAGUACAAG
rnacentral:pre_miRNA from 1 species